rnacentral:rRNA from 1 species
AGUCGAGCGGUAGAGAGAAGCUUGCUUCUCUUGAGAGCGGCGGACGGGUGAGUAAUGCCUAGGAAUCUGCCUAGUGGUGGGGGAUAACGUUCGGAAACGGACGCUAAUACCGCAUACGUCCUACGGGAGAAAGCGGGGGACCUUCGGGCCUCGCGCCAUUAGAUGAGCCUAGGUCGGAUUAGCUAGUUGGUGAGGUAACGGCUCACCAAGGCGACGAUCCGUAACUGGUCUGAGAGGAUGAUCAGUCACACUGGAACUGAGACACGGUCCAGACUCCUACGGGAGGCAGCAGUGGGGAAUAUUGGACAAUGGGCGCAAGCCUGAUCCAGCCAUGCCGCGUGUGUGAAGAAGGUCUUCGGAUUGUAAAGCACUUUAAGUUGGGAGGAAGGGCAGUAAGCGAAUACCUUGCUGUUUUGACGUAC